rnacentral:rRNA from 1 species
AUUAGCUAGUAGGUGAGGUAAAGGCUCACCUAGGCGACGAUCCCUAGCUGGUCUGAGAGGAUGAUCAGCCACACUGGGACUCUUACACGGCCCAGACUCCUACGGGAGGCAGCAGUGGGGAAGAUUGCACAAUGGGGGAAACCCUGAUGCAGCCAUGCCGCUUGUGUGAAGAAGGCCUUCGGGUUGUAAACGGCUAACUCCGUGCCAGCAGCCGCGGUAAUACGGAGGUUGCGACGUUAAUCGGAAUUACUGGGCCGAAAGCGUGCGCAGGCGGUUUGUUAUUCGAGAUGUAAAGCCCCGGGCUCAACCUGGGAACCGCAUUUCGAACUGGCAAACUAGAGUCUUGUAGAGGGGGGUAGAAUUCCAGGUGUAGCGGCCCAAUGCGUAGAGAUCCGGGGAAUACCGGUGGCGAAGGCGGCCCCCUGGACAAAGACUGACGCUCAGGCACGAAAGCGUGGGGAGCAAACAGGCGUAGAUACCCUGGUAGUCCACCGUAAACGAUGUCUACUCGGAGUCGGGUGUCUUGAACACUGGGCUCUCAAASUAACGCAUUAAGUAGACCGCCUGGGGAGUACGGCCGCAAGGUUAAAACUCAAAUGAAUUGACGGG